rnacentral:ncRNA from 3 species
AGCAGCCGCGGUAAUUCCAGCUCCAAUAGCGUAUAUUAAAGUUGUUGCAGUUAAAAAGCUCGUAGUUGAAUUUCGGGAUUGACACAUCGGUCGUGCCUUAAGGGGUAUGAACUGGUGUAGUCAAUUUCUCACCUUCUGGAGAACCGCGAUGCCCUUAAUUGGGUGUCACGGGGAACCAGGACCUUUACUUUGAAAAAAUUAGAGUGUUUAAAGCAGGCAUUUUGCUUGAAUACAUUAGCAUGGAAUAAUAAAAUAGGACGGCAUGAUUCUAUUUUGUUGGUUUCUAGGAUCACCGUAAUGAUUAAUAGGGAUAGUUGGGGGCAUUAGUAUUCAAUUGUCAGAGGUGAAAUUCUUGGAUUUAUUGAAGACUAACUACUGCGAAAGCAUUUGCCAAGGAUGUUUUCAUUAAUCAAGAACGAAAGUUAGGGGAUCGAAGACGAUCAGAUACCGUCGUAGUCUUAACCAUAAACUAUGCCGACUAGGAAUCAGACGAUGUUAAUUUUUUAAUGACUCGUUUGGCACCUUACG